CCAGGACCCGCGCUGCUGCCCUCCAACUCCACGGGCAGCCCACAGCAAAAUUUCAUGUGUUCCUUGUAUACAAGCUAUCAGGCCUCUGAGCCCAAGCCUGCAAGUACACAUCCAGAUGGCCUGAAGCAACUAAAGAACCACAAAAGAAGUGAAAAUAAUUCCUGCCUUAACUGAUGACAUUCCACCAUUGUGAUUUAUUCCUGCCCCACCCUAACUGGUCAAUUGACCUUGUGAAAUUCCUUCUCCUGGACAAUGAGUCUCACAACCUCCCCACUAAGCACCUUGUAACCCCCAUCUCUGCCUGCAAGAGAAAAACUCCCCUUGACUGUAAUUUUCCACUACUUGCCCUAAUCCUAUAAAACUGCCCCACUCCUAUCUCCCUUUGCUGACUCCUUUUUCGGACUCAGUCUGCCUGCACCCAUGUGAUUAAAAAGCUUUAUUGCUCACACAAAGCCUGUUUGGUUAUCUCUUCACACAGACAUGCGUGACAUUUGGUGCUGAAGACCCGGGAUGGGGGACUCCUUCGGGAGACUGGUCCCCUGUCCUCACCCUCACUCCAUGAGGAGAUCCACCUACAACCUCGGGUCCUCAGUCCAACCAGCCUAAGGAACAUCUCACCAAUUUCAAAUCAGUCUCCACCCCAAGUUCUGAGUCCUUUAAAUCUUCCUUUUCUAAGGACCCAUCUGACCUCUCUUCUCCUCCCCAGGCUGCUGCUCACCAGGAUGAGCCAGGUCCCAGUUCUUCCUCAGCCUCUGUUCCCCGACCCUAUAAUCCUUCUAUGACCUCCCCUUCUCACACUUGGUCCAGCUUACAACUUUGUUCCACAACUAGCUCUCCCCCACCUGCCCAAAAAUUUCCUCUUAAAGAGGUGGCUGGAGCUAAAGGCAUAGUCAAGGUUAAUGCUCCUUUUUCUUUAUCCGACCUCUCCCAAAUCAGUUAGCAUUUAGGCUCUUUUACAUCAAAUAUAAAAACCCAGCCCAGUUCAUGGCCCGUUUGGCAACAACUCUUAGAUGCUUUACUGCCCUAGACCCAGAGAGGCCAGAAGGCCGUCUUAUUCUCAAUAUGCAUUUUAUUACCCAAUCCACUCCUGACAUUAAAAAAAGCCCCAAAAAUUAGAUUCCAGCUGUAAAACCCCACAACAGGACUUAAUUAACCUCACCUUCAAGGUGUACAGUAAUAGAGAAGAGGCAGCCAAGCGGCAAUGUAUUUCUGAGUUGCAAUUACUUGCCUCUGCUGUGAGAGAAACCCCAGCUACAUCUCCAGCACACAAGAACUUCAAAACUCCUAAACUGCAGGGGCCAGGUGUUCCUCCAGGACCUCCUCCCCAGGAUCUUGCUUCAAUUGCCAGAAAUCCGGCCACUGGGCCAGGGAAUGCCCGCAGUCCAGGAUUCCUCCUAAGCCGUGUCCCAUCUGUGCAGGACCCCACUGGAAGUUGGACUGUCCAACUCACCUGGCAGCCACUCCUAGAGCCCCUAGAAUUCUAGCCCAAAGCUCUCUGACUGACUCCUUCCCAGAUCUUGGCUUAGUGGCUGAAGACUGAUGCUGCCCAAUUACCUCGGAAGCCUCCUGGACCAUCACAGAUACUUUGAGUAAUCUCUUAUAGUGGAAGCACGAUGCAUCAAACCAUACCAUGGCAUGCCUAGGACCCAACCCCAUAUCAGAAAUGAAGAAACUGACCUUACAGUACCCGCAGCCCUGAACAAAGCAGCUUCCACAGAUGACACAAGCCCCGGACCUGGGGGAUGCUGAAGAGGACAACUCAGGAGGCUGAACGAAUCCUGCUCUGGACACUGACACCAAUUACUCCAGGAAAUUUUUUCCUUGCUAUGCUUUCUGUGUAUAUUGCAACUCACAUAGGGAUGCAAAGUUGGAAUAAGAGCAAUGACCACCUCUCCUGAGAGACCUGUUUGUUCCCACAUCUGUACUCUUCAGUCAACAGAACCUGAUGCAAAGAACAGAAAAGGGGAAGAUGUGGGGGAUUCAGUCAGGAUGGUGGGAGAAAUUGUAAAAUUAUAGGAAAUAAUCACAAACACUUGUGGAAGGCCUGGGGGUUUGCAUAAAAUGUUGGGCUGAAGGCAGCUGAAUUCUCUUAAAAGCUUAGGGCAUAGAUACACAGAAAUGUAGUUUAUCUAAAUGACUUGUUUACUUAUGUGGUCCUAAAACUAACCUUUGAUAGUUUAUGGGCAGGAUAGCUCUCUCAGGGUAGGGGGAGGGCAACCAGAUUGAUUACCCACUGAUGGUGUUGACUCAAAGCCUUCGUCAUUUAAUAUGUGCUGAAUAAAUGCCAGCAGGGCCAGUGAGUCAGGGCCACAGCUGCAACUCUUUACAGCACUCUCCUUUGAGUCUGUAAGUGGCCUAGACCCUCAGCCGGUCUGACAAGCAUAAUAUCUGUGUUAGUGUACAUUAUUCAUCCAUCGUUGGGUCAGGGUCUGCAGGACAGACCCCUAGAAAAAUAAAAUAAAAUUAAAAAUAGCCGGGUGUGGUUACACACACCUGUAAUCCCACCUACCUGGGAGGCUGAGAUAGAAUCGCUUGAACACAGGAGGCAGAAUUUGCAGUGAGCCGAGAUCAUGCCACUGCA
rnacentral:lncRNA from 10 species